GCUCACAUCACCACUGCCAUCACACAGGGUGGCCUAAAAGUUGUAGCCUACCUAUACUCCAGGUGGAGUAAUUAAGCCAAGAAACAUUAUAGUCUUUUUUUUUUUUUAAAUAUGUCGCAAAAAGAUCCAUGCAAGAAACAAGCCUGCAAGAGACAGAAGUGUUUACAAGCCAACAACUACAAGGAAUCCAAGUGUCAGGCUGUCAUCCAAGAACUGCGCAAGUGCUGUGCUCGGUACCCCAAAGGAAGAUCUCUCGUCUGCUCAGGAUUUGAGAAAGAGGAGGAAGAAAACCUGACACUGAAGUCUGGUUUAAAGCCUAGUUCUGAGGGAAGUUAAAUGCUGUUCCAGGUUUCCACCAAGCCUGCCUCAUUUAUACUGUGGA